CCAGACUCCUACGGGAGGCAGCAGUGGGGAAUAUUGCACAAUGGGGGAAACCCUGAUGCAGCAACGCCGCGUGAGUGAAGAAGUAUUUCGGUAUGUAAAGCUCUAUCAGCAGGGAAGAGAAUGACGGUACCUGACUAAGAAGCCCCGGCUAACUACGUGCCAGCAGCCGCGGUAAUACGUAGGGGGCAAGCGUUAUCCGGAUUUACUGGGUGUAAAGGGGGCGCAGACGGCCAUGGCAAGCCCGGUGUGAAAGGCAGGGGCAUAACCCCUGGACUGCACUGGGAACUGUCAGGCUGGAGUGCCGGAGGGGCAGGCGGAAUUCCUGGUGUAGCGGUGAAAUGCGUAGAUAUCAGGAGGAACACCGGUGGCGAAGGCGGCCUGCUGGACUGCAACUGACGUUGAGGCCCGAAAGCGUGGGGAGCAAACAGGAUUAGAUACCCUGGUAC
rnacentral:rRNA from 1 species